rnacentral:rRNA from 1 species
GACGGAGGGUGCAAGCGUUGCUCGGAAUCACUGGGCGUAAAGGGUGCGUAGGCGGUCUCGCAAGUCUGGCGUGAAAGCCCAAGGCUCAGCCUUGGAAGUGCGCUCGAAACGGCGAGGCUGGAGUGCCGGAGGGGAGAGUGGAAUUCCCGGUGUAGCGGUGAAAUGCGUAGAUAUCGUAAGGAAGACCAGUGGCGAAGGCGGGUCUCUGGACAGUUCCUGACGCUGAGGCACGAAGGUCAGGGGAGCAAACGGG